CCAGGAUUGCCUCAGUAAGGGCGACUGAAGUGGCAAUAGCUCAUGAUGUGAAUCUGCGGCGGAAUUGUGGUGUCGCUUGUGUUAAAGGGUUGGGCCAAGUCCGUUGGAACACGGCAGCAGAGAGGGUGAGACUCCCGUUCGCCUGGCCUUUGGAACAAGUGUAUUUGAGUCGAGUUGUUUGGGAUUGCAGCUCUAAGCGGGUGGUAAAUUCCAUCGAAAGCUAAAUACUGGUGGGAGACCGAUAGCGUACAAGUACCGUGAGGGAAAGAUGCAAAGAUGCGCGAAAGCGCUGUUAAAGAGUACCUGAACUUGCUGAAACGGAAGCGAAGGAAACCAGUGCCAGCUGCGUCAUACUUCCCUGUCUGCUUGCGGUCGGGGCGCUGUGGCCAGCGUUGUCAGGCUUGGUUGAGGGCUGUGGAAGGGCAUGGGUAGAGUUGAUGCCCAUUGC
rnacentral:rRNA from 1 species